rnacentral:rRNA from 1 species
UGGGGAAUAUUGGACAAUGGGCGAAAGCCUGAUCCAGCCAUGCCGCGUGUGUGAAGAAGGUCUUCGGAUUGUAAAGCACUUUAAGUUGGGAGGAAGGGCAGUAAGCGAAUACCUUGCUGUUUUGACGUUACCGACAGAAUAAGCACCGGCUAACUCUGUGCCAGCAGCCGCGGUAAUACAGAGGGUGCAAGCGUUAAUCGGAAUUACUGGGCGUAAAGCGCGCGUAGGUGGUUCGUUAAGUUGAAUGUGGAAGCCCCGGGCUCAACCUGGGAACUGCAUCCAAAACUGGCGAGCGAGAGUAGGGCAGAGGGUGGUGGAAUUUCCUGUGUAGCGGUGAAAUGCGUAGAUAUAGGAAGGAACACCAGUGGCGAAGGCGACCACCUGGGCUCAUGCAGACACUGAGGUGCGAAAGCGUGGGGAGCAAACAGG